CUGGUGACCAGCAUGCACAUACCUUCUCUCAUUUAUUGACAGGAUCGUUUUUGUCAGAUUAUAUGGGCGAAAAUCAUCACUUCAUAAGAUCAGCAGCAAUAUAAAUACAGAGAAAAUUUAUACCAUGGUGACAGACGGACGGGUGUAUCUGUGUUAUUAUUUGACAUUAUGGAGCACGCUGGAGGACGUUCCCUCAGUUGAGACAUCACAUUGGCCAUAAUUUCUGUCAAAAGCAGGAAAAACAACAAAGCGCAUUUGACAAGACACACAAAUGCCCCCCUCGUUCAUCAGAAAGCCAUACACAUUAGUGCUGGACUGUGACUGCUGUCCCUUCACAUGGAAAUGCACCCAGAUAUCCCAUCAGCUUCCCUUCCGUAUUAUUAUGGAGCCAGUGGAAACACGGGCUAAUAUUUGAAAGGGGAAUGGAAAAGAUGACGGCACAUUACGGACAUUCAUCCCCUUCUCUCGCUGCCCGGUAAGGGCACCUUUUCCAUCCCGGCGUUAACAAAGCAUCCUUGACAAGACUGUGGAGUUGUUUGGAGUUCAUGUUCAUAGCAUUUGGAAAACGGACUCGUGGAAAUAUGGAAGUUCAAAACAAAAGGACCGAAAAACCCAACAGUCAAACACACAAAAACACACACACACAAAAAAAACAGUGGCACUAGUUUAAUGUGCCCAGUAAAUAACGGAGUUAAAAUCAAUCACUCAGAAAAGUGUGUAAUUAUGCUAAUUUAAAUUCAACGCAGUUGGUGAUAUGUGUGGGUAAAGUGGGGUCAGGUCAGCCAUCACAUCAGGUAGUUUAAGAACCAAAAAGAAUUACAACUGUAUAAUUGCAAAAUUAUUUAUUUUCAGUCUAUUUAUUAUGUAAGUGCACAAGAUAUUAUGUACAUAUGCUCUAAGAAUGCUGUUUACAUAUGAGUAUUUCACAGCUACGCAGUUUUGGACAAAAUUUUCAGCACUGAUUUUUUUUUUUUUUUUUUUAAAUCAGUAUAAUGAAACAAGAUAUUCUAGCUCACAUCAGGAAUGCCCACAUCGUCUUUAAUUGCUGGUUCAAAGAUACAUACAGUAAUUACAGAUCUUUGUGUGGACAAGGCAUUGCAGUUUUCUAUAAAGCAAACGCCUUUAAAGCUUCUUGUGACCACUGAUCCAAAGCAUGUUCACUCACUCACACACACAGCGAGCUAAUAAAUGAAAAACGCUCGACACAGUCUGUGCUGCUACAUUGUGCCUGUUGUGGCUCAGCGCUCUGGAAGAUGACUGAGCUUGUACAGGAGCUAUGAAGGCUGUCAUCUGGCCAUAAUCUGAACUGUCUUUCUAAUCAGUUAAUCUGCAAAGGUGUACAAUGAAGUGCAAUUUCUCUGUUUUUCUAACAAUAUUCAUGGUGCAAAGCAGAUAAAGCAAGGUUCUUUUUUUAAAGUUAUCAUUCUGUCUUCACAAAUCAAAGACUGUGUAUUGGAUAAAUAUGGAAAAACUAGAUUUAAACAUAAGGAAGGGGGUGUUUUAACCUAAAUCUCUUUUAGCCCAAAGUAGUCCUGUGCUCUAAAACUUGCAUCUUUAACAUCUGCUCUUAAAUUUGUGCACAAAUCGACAAGGCCAGUUCUAUAAGCUCUCAUGAUGUAAGCUCUUCCCAGACUAUAGCAUUGCCUCUGAUUAAAAUUGUUGCCUGUGUUUUCUCCAAAUCAUCUUGUGCAUAGUCACGUAAAAAUAAAUAUGUACGUGUUGCUUUCAGUUCAGUUCAAUUUAUUUAUUUAUUUUGUGAUGUGAUUUCAUUUACCAAGCAAAAA